rnacentral:rRNA from 1 species
UACGUAGGGCGCAAGCGUUAUCCGGAAUUAUUGGGCGUAAAGAGCUCGUAGGCGGUUUGUCGCGUCUGCCGUGGAAGUCCGGGGCUCAACUCUGGAUCUGCGGUGGGUACGGGCAGACUAGAGUGAUGUAGGGGAGACUGGAAUUCCUGGUGUAGCGGUGAAAUGCGCAGAUAUCAGGAGGAACACCGAUGGCGAAGGCAGGUCUCUGGGCAUUAACUGACGCUGAGGAGCGAAAGCAUGGGGAGCGAACAGG